AUACAGAGGGUGCGAGCGUUAAUCGGAAUUACUGGGCGUAAAGCGCGCGUAGGCGGCUUAUUAAGUCAGAUGUGAAAUCCCCGGGCUCAACCUGGGAACUGCAUCUGAUACUGGUAAGCUAGAGUUUUGGAGAGGGAAGUAGAAUUUCAGGUGUAGCGGUGAAAUGCAUAGAGAUCUGAAGGAAUACCAGUGGCGAAGGCGACUUCCUGGCCAAAAACUGACGCUGAGGUGCGAAAGCGUGGGUAGCAAACGGGAUUAGAUACCCGUGUAGUCC
rnacentral:rRNA from 1 species